rnacentral:piRNA from 1 species
UAACAGAGUAGUUUCAAUAGAGGUGUGCCU